rnacentral:rRNA from 1 species
UACGAAGGGGGCUAGCGUUGCUCGGAAUUACUGGGCGUAAAGGGCGCGUAGGCGGAUCGUUAAGUUAGAGGUGAAAGCCCAGGGCUCAACCUUGGAACUGCCUUUGAUACUGGCGAUCUGGAGUACGGGAGAGGUGUGUGGAACUCCGAGUGUAGAGGUGAAAUUCGUAGAUAUUCGGAAGAACACCAGUGGCGAAGGCGACACACUGGCCCGUUACUGACGCUGAGGCGCGAAAGCGUGGGGAGCAAACAGG